UGUAAAGAGGGGAUUUACCCCGUAAAUGGAAUUACAACCCACCACCUUAUACUCAGCCACCUUUAC
rnacentral:tRNA from 1 species